AAACUGACUGUUUUUGUGUGUUGUACGGACAGUGGCAUCGACGACGACGACGACGGCGGCAGAGAAACGGUCGUCGUUGUCGUUGUCGUUGCCUCCGUUUCGUUCAAUUGAGCGCAGCAGCAACAGC
rnacentral:precursor_RNA from 15 species